rnacentral:rRNA from 1 species
AGCAUGUGGUUUAAUUCGAUGCAACGCGAAGAACCUUACCUACCCUUGACAUCCAGAGAAUCUGUUAGAGAUAGUAGAGUGCCUUCGGGAACUCUGAGACAGGUGCUGCAUGGCUGUCGUCAGCUCGCGUCGUGAGAUGUUGGGUUAAGUCCCGUAACGAGCGCAACCCUUAUCCUUAGUUGCCAGCACAUAAUGGUGGGAACUCUAGGGAGACUGCCGGUGAUAAACCGGAGGAAGGUGGGGACGACGUCAAGUCAUCAUGGCCCUUAUGGGUAGGGCUACACACGUGCUACAAUGGUCGGUACAGAGGGCCGCGAACUCGCGAGAGUAAGCAAAUCCCAGAAAGCCGAUCCUAGUCCGGAUUGGAGUCUGCAACUCGACUCCAUGAAGUUGGAAUCGCUAGUAAUCGCGGAUCAGAAUGCCGCGGUGAAUACGUUCCCGGGCCUUGUACACACCGCCCGUCACACCAUGGGAGUGGGUUGCAAAAGAAGUGGGUAGACUAACCUUCGGGAGGUCGCUCACCACUUUGUGAUUCAUGACUGGGGUG